UAGCCUAGUGGUUUAGGCUAUGGAUCGCCAAUCCGGAGACGACGGGUUCGAUUCCCGU
rfam:Aedes albopictus isolate Foshan contig131068, whole genome shotgun sequence.